GAUGAACGCUGGCGGCGUGCCUAAUACAUGCAAGUCGAGCGAACAGAUGAGGAGCUUGCUCCUCUGACGUUAGCGGCGGACGGGUGAGUAACACGUGGAUAACCUACCUAUAAGACUGGGAUAACUUCGGGAAACCGGAGCUAAUACCGGAUAAUAUAUUGAACCGCAUGGUUCAAUAGUGAAAGACGGUUUUGCUGUCACUUAUAGAUGGAUCCGCGCCGCAUUAGCUAGUUGGUAAGGUAACGGCUUACCAAGGCAACGAUGCGUAGCCGACCUGAGAGGGUGAUCGGCCACACUGGAACUGAGACACGGUCCAGACUCCUACGGGAGGCAGCAAUAGGGAAUCUUCCGCAAAGGGCGAAAGCCUGACGGAGCAACGCCGCGUGAGUGAUGAAGGUCUUCGGAUCGUAAAACUCUGUUAUUAGGGAAGAACAAAUGUGUAAGUAACUAUGCACGUCUUGACGGUACCUAAUCAGAAAGCCACGGCUAACUACGUG
rnacentral:rRNA from 1 species